UGUGCUUGUGACUUCUUCCGAC
rnacentral:siRNA from 1 species